GAGGGUGCAGCUCAGUGGUAGAGCGCCUGCCUAGCAUGCACGAGGUCCUGGGUUCAAUCCCCAGUACUGCCA
rnacentral:tRNA from 1 species